UGUGGCCCCGCCCACCCUCAUAGUCCUGCCCCCCUCCAGCGUGGAGCUGCAGCAGGGGAAGGCCACACUCGUGUGUUGGCCAACAAGGGCUUCCCCUCAGACUGGAGGCUGAGCUGGAAGGUGGACGGGAGCAGCUGGAGCUCGGGUGUUAGCCAGAGCCCCGGGCUUCUGCAGAAGGACGACGGCCUCUACAGCUGGAGCAGCACCCUGACCCUCCAGGAGGACCAGUGGCUAAAGAAGACAGUGACCUGUGAGGCCACCAAGGACUCCCAGGCUCCUGUCAGCCAAACCCUGAGGAGAGAGCAAUGCACUGGGCAGUGAGCGUCCACGCCUGUGUUGGAGCUGCUAGAGCUCCUCUUGAUCUUCAGUGAGCUCAAACAUGGCUCUGCUUAAUGCUCUGAUCUUCAUCUCAUCACUUCCUCAUCAAAAUAA